CCUAACACGAACCAAACUCCCUUCUCUUCUCCAGAUGGGUUGGCUUCUUCACUCGCUUCUCUCCCCAUUGAAGAAGCUCUGGCACCGCCUAAAAUCGCCCCGACGAAAGCGUACACUUCCUCCAUUCUCUGCUAGCUGGUUACACAUCAAGCACACAUCUUCACAUUUUCUUUCUUUCUUUCUUUCUCGAUUCCCAUGGAGAGGGAUAUACGUACUGUAUGAAGAUGUGAAGUCAUGCCCAUGUGAAGAUGUCCAUAUCCUCUGGUCUAUGCUGGUGGAGUCACAUUCAGCCGCCUCACAAUACCAAGACGAUCAUGAAGGCUCUUUGGCUCAAUAAAGAAACUAUGAAAAAUAACAUGUGUCAAUUUUCCCUUAUUGUAAAUUCCACAUAUUCACUAUUAUAAAGUUGGUCUUGCUUUCUA